UACCAGACUCCUACGGGAGGCAGCAGUGGGGAAUAUUGCACAAUGGGGGAAACCCUGAUGCAGCGACGCCGCGUGAGCGAUGAAGUAUUUCGGUAUGUAAAGCUCUAUCAGCAGGGAAGAAGAUGACGGUACCCGACUAAGAAGCCCCGGCUAACUACGUGCCAGCAGCCGCGGUAAUACGUAGGGGGCAAGCGUUAUCCGGAUUUACUGGGUGUAAAGGGAGCGUAGACGGCGAUGCAAGCCAGAUGUGAAAGCCCGGGGCUCAACCCCGGGACUGCAUUUGGAACUGUGUGGCUGGAGUGUCGGAGAGGCAGGCGGAAUUCCUAGUGUAGCGGUGAAAUGCGUAGAUAUUAGGAGGAACACCAGUGGCGAAGGCGGCCUGCUGGACGAUGACUGACGUUGGGGCUCGAAAGCGUGGGGAGCAAACAGGAUUAGAUACCCCCGUA
rnacentral:rRNA from 1 species